rnacentral:rRNA from 1 species
GACGGAAUGCGCGGUUUAAGGGAGGUAGGGGUUUUCCCCGAGCCCCGAAAGUACCGUUCCCCCUCGGGGGAGCGGACAGCGCGGGUAAGCAAGCUCCCGAGAAAAGUCGUACGGCGCCAGGCAGUCGGGGCCCGUACCGUAAACCGACACAGGUGGGCGGGGAGAGCAUCCCAAGGCGUACGAGUGAACCAUGGCCAAGGAACUAGGCAAAAUGACCCCGUAACUUCGGGAGAAGGGGUCCUCGCGUGUGCGAGGCGCAGAGAAGUGGCCCAGGCGACUGUUUACCAAAAACACAUGGCUUUGCGAAAUCGAAAGAUGAAGCAUAAGGCCUGACACCUGCCCGGUGCCGGAAGGUUAAGGGGGGGCGUGAGCCGGCGACGGCGGGGCGCCGAACCGAAGCCCCGGUAAACGGCGGCCGUAACUAUAACGGUCCUAAGGUAGCGAAAUUCCUUGUCGGGUAAGUUCCGACCUGCACGAAUGGUGUAACGAUCCGGGCGCUGUCUCGGCCAUGGGCUCGGUGAAAUUGUAGUGGCGGUGAAGAUGCCGCCUACCCGCAACGGGACGGAAAGACCCCGUGAACCUUUACUGCAGCUUAGUGCUGCUCCAGGACUGCGGAUGUGUAGGAUAGGUGGGAGGCGAUGAAACGGAAGCGCCAGUUUCCGUGGAGCCGUUGUUGAAAUACCACCCUUCCGCAGUCCGGGGGCUAACCCCGUUGAAAUGGGGGACACCGCUUGGCGGGUAGUUUGACUGGGGUGGUCGCCUCCAAAAGGGUAACGGAGGCUUCCCAAGGCGCGCUCAGCACGAAUGGCAACCGUGCGUUGAGUGCAUUGGCAGAAGCGCGCUUGACUGAGAGACCGACAAGUCGACCAGGUGCGAAAGCAGGGCAAAGUGAUCCGGCGGUUCCGCAUGGAAGGGCCGUCGCUCAAAGGAUAAAAGGUACUCCGGGGAUAACAGGCUGAUCGCCCCCAAGAGCUCAGAUCGACGGGGCGGUUUGGCACCUCGAUGUCGGCUCGUCACGUCCUGGGGCUGGAGCAGGUCCCAAGGGUUCGGCUGUUCGCCGAUUAAAGUGGCACGCGAGCUGGGUUCAGAACGUCGUGAGACAGUUCGGUCCCUAUCUGUUGCGGGCGUGGGAGAUUUGAGGAGCGCCGUCCUUAGUACGAGAGGACCGGGACGGACGGACCUCUGGCGUGCCGGUUGUGGCGCCAGCUGCACCGCCGGGUAGCCAAGUCCGGAAGUGAUAAGCGCUGAAAGCAUCUAAGCGCGAAGCCCCCUCCGAGAUAAGAUCUCCGUUUAAGGGCCGUGGGAGACUACCACGUCGAUAGGCGGGAGGUGCAAAGCCGGCGACGGCAAAGCCGACCCGUACUAAUUGCCCGUAGGUUUCGUUC